AUGUUCUUGCCCAGGGCUCUAAGUCAGCAGUGGGCUCGUUAUGUGCAUGGCUGUAUAGCAGAGUGCUCCUGGGACACCCGAGCGAUGUAUUUUGGAAAUGGUACAGAGCUGUCAGUAGAGCCUGAAUUCCAAGAAACUUCUGCACCCUCAGUCUUUGUCAUGAAAAAUGGGACCAAUGUGGCAUGUCUGGUGAAGGACUUCUACCCCAAGACUGUGGAAAUACAGCUUCAGCCAGGAAACGACAUAUCAGAAGGAGUGGUUGCUACUGCCGAUGGGAAAUUCAGUGCUGUCAAGCUUGGCCAAUAUGAAAAAGAUUUGGAUCAAAUUAACUGCACCGUUCGGCACAGCAAUAUGGUUGUAGUGGCUUCUUACAAAGGGUCCUCUUCCAAUUCCAAGAUUUCAGACCUAGGGUCGCCACUUUCCGAAGAUUGCUACAAACCCACAGGUAAGUUCAAAUAAAGGGGCCAAAUA